UCAAUGGAGAGUUUGAUCCUGGCUCAGGACGAACGCUGGCGGCGUGCUUUAUACAUGCAAGUCGAACGAUGAAGUUCCUUCGGGAAUGGAUUAGUGGCGAACGGGUGAGGAACACGUGAGAAACCUGCCUUUCAUUCUGGGAUAACACCGGGAAACCGGUGCUAAUACCGGAUACUCCAUCUUGGCGGCAUCGCCGAGCUGGGAAAAAAUUUUGAUGAAAGAUGGUCUCGCGGCCUAUCAGCUAGUUGGUGAGGUAAAGGCUCACCAAGGCGACGACGGGUAGCCGGC
rnacentral:rRNA from 1 species